rnacentral:rRNA from 1 species
UUGAACGCUGGCGGCAGGCCUAACACAUGCCAGUCGAGCGGAUGAAGGGAGCUUGCUCCUGGAUUCAGCGGCGGACGGGUGAGUAAUGCCUAGGAAUCUGCCUGGUAGUGGGGGAUAACGUCCGGAAACGGGCGCUAAUACCGCAUACGUCCUGAGGGAGAAAGUGGGGGAUCUUCGGACCUCACGCUAUCAGAUGAGCCUAGGUCGGAUUAGCUAGUUGGUGGGGUAAAGGCCUACCAAGGCGACGAUCCGUAACUGGUCCGAGAGGAUGAUCAGUCACACUGGAACUGAGACACGGUCCAGACUCCUACGGGAGGCAGCAGUGGGGAAUAUUGGACAAUGGGCGAAAGCCUGAUCCAGCCAUGCCGCGUGUGUGAAGAAGGUCUUCGGAUUGUAAAGCACUUUAAGUUGGGAGGAAGGGCAGUAAGUUAAUACCUUGCUGUUUUGACGUUACCAACAGAAUAAGCACCGGCUAACUUCGUG